rnacentral:tRNA from 1 species
AAAGUGUCCAGGGAUUGGAAUCGAACCCACAGUGUUCCGCUUACCGGGCAGAUACCAUGUCCACUAGGUUACCAUCCU